UCGGUGGUGGUUGAAGUAUCUUCCUCUUGCUCUUCUGUGUAAUGUAAGCUUCGCCUUAUUUCUCUUCGGUUUCUACAAACUGUGCGAUCGAUCUCACUAUCAAACAGUAAUGGUCUUGAUGGGUUUCUCCUGGUCAUAAACUAGAAAAACCUGUCAGAAGAAAAUAAAUGAAGAGUUAGAAAAGAAAAUAAAAAUUUAAAUUGUAAUAGAAGUAAAAUGGCUAAAGUAAUAAAAAAUGUGUGUUCCUAAUAUCUUAGCUCCCUGGCAACGGCGCCAAAAACUUGAUACGUGAUAUUCGUGACAGGUUUUAGAUAUUUAUAAUGAAUCGUUCUUGAAACUAACUAUUAUCACGAUGAAGGCAAGUGUACCUAUCGAACAGUAGUAUAGCUUUAGCAAGACCGGAUUAUCGAAUCUAAAAGAACUAAAAGUACUAGUAUCAACUUUCUUUUUAUUAUCUAGCCUAAAAAAAAUAAAAGGGUUUUGUUUAUCUAACUAAUUAAUUAAACUAAGAAAUCACAGAAAAGAAAUUUGGGGAAAACACUUUUUGGAAAACUCAAUUGAUUGAGACAAUACCUAAGAAAAAUCCACCUAGACUUCACUUGUUAUUUGACUUUGAAUCGGACGAUUUAUUCAUUCAACUUGUUUCGUAGAGAUCCCUAAGUUAUAUUAUUAUCUCUCUCGAUACUAACAAUGUCUAACCCUAAAUUGAAUAUUUGAAAUCUCUUUAUAAUUAACGCCCUAGGGUUAUAUUAACUCGAUCUAUGGAUCUCCUUAUUAGGUUUCACCCUAAUCCGAAAAAAUCUUGUCACCCUAUCUCUAGGUGCGCAAUCAACUCCGCUUAAUUAUGAUAAAAUUACUCUUAGACACGGUCUAUUCCUCCUCUGAAUAAGAGCUUAACUUGAAUCAUUAUCCUGAAAUAUCAAAACAAGAAUUAAGAACACAUAAUUAAGAACAAGUCAAAUAUUUAUCAUACAAUUCAGAUAAUGAUAACAAGAUCCGUCUUAGGUUUCAUUCCCCUUAGGUAUUUCGGGGUUUUAGUUCAUACUAAUGAAAGAAAACAUCUCAAAGGAAUAAAAAUAACAAAACAUAAGAAAACCCAAAACUCCUGAGGGAAUUUGAAGGGAGAUCUUUAGUCUUGAUGGUGAAUCCGGCCUCUGAGAUGGAUCGAUCGACUUUCCUUGAGCAAUUCAUUGCUUCCUCCAGUACGUCCCCCGUCUAAGUGCCUCCUCAGGUGUUUAAAUAGGCUUUAGAAUGCCUAAGACCCUUAAAAUUGACCUUUUCCGAAUUGGACUAAACUUGGGCUCGGUAGGGACACGCCAGUGUGCGAUUGCUUAAGGCAGUGGUCAAGGCUGUUAAAUAGGCACGCGUGUGUGAUCUACCCGUGUAAAUUGUGCUUUGACCUAUCUAAAGGGACAUGGUCGUAUGACACGCCCGUGUGAGGAAGUCCAGGCCGUGUUGUUUUCUCAUGUAGGUCCAUUUUCUCCAUUUUCGACCCGUUUCUCGCUCUUUUUAUUCUCCUAUGCUCACCUAAGUAUAAAACAUGAAAUUAAAGGAUUAGGAGCAUCGAAUUCACCAAUUCUAAGGAGAAACCAUCCAUAAAUGUGUUAAGCAUGGGGUAAAAAUAUGUAAAAAUUACGGUUUAUCGGUGCCAUGCUAAAAUCUGCCUUAUGGACUUCUUCCUCAGACACAUCUCUUAAUAAAACCUCUCAGUCAACAAAGGAGAUUGGAGGAAACAUACCGUAACAAGGAAAAGAACCUGCAGUCCUAGAGCCAACUGUAUAAUGAUCCUAAAAAAAUUCCACAGCAUGUUGCUGUAUCCUGCCAUUCUCAAAGCACCAACCAUCAUCACUAAUAAUUAACCCUUCAAUUCUAUUGGUUUUCCUUCUAGCUCUCGUAUGACUACGAAAAUACUUGGUGUUCUGUUACCAUUUUUCAACCAAACUGAUGAAUAUUUCUGGAACCAAAGUAGUUCUUCAUGUUUAAGAACAACAUCAAUUUCCUUCCGAAUCUCAACUUCUCUAGAGCUCAAAUGUGUAGAAGUUCGAAAUUCUAAAAUUCUCUGAACACAGUUCAGCUCCAUAAUAAGUUCCUUCUUCUUAACAAGAAUAUUCCCAUAAACUUUUUUACUCCAGACUUGUAACACAGACUUCAAAUUCUCCAAACUUGAAAAUUCCUCAAGAUUCAGAUUCCAAUUUUUCUAAAUAAGGUCCCUGAAUUCCGUAUGGAGUAGCCAGAUAGCUAAAAAAUGGAAGGGUCAUUGGUUACUGUUGGAAAAUUUUAGGCUAGACGCAAUCAAAAUUGGUUAAUAAUCUGAUUUUAAUCUGUGCAAAUGUCUAACGGAAUAGUUCAAGGUAGCUAUCUCCCACAUGGAAUUAUAGAUAGAACGAUUAAGUUUUUGAAAAAGCAUGCCCUUGUUCCAAGUAAACAGUGGACUUGAAAAACACAUAUCUCAGAGACUAAACUUAUAGAUAAAGUUCUUAAACAACUCACAACCGAGGCCCCUUCUACUUGCCCCCAUUGUCUCUCCGAACCAUCUAAUAUGGAAUUAAAAUCACCUACUAGAAUCCAUGCUUCACAAACACAAUAAGAAAAAUCAUAAAAAAACUUUCCAUAAUUCAAGCCUUUUUUGAAGGCUCGCACAAACUGCAGAACAAAGGAAGGCAGAAGAACCCUUAGUAAUUCUCAUAUGGACAACCGGAAGGUGAAAUUUAACAAUAUCAAUAGUAAUAUUAUCAUUUCAAAGAAGCCAAAUUCCCCACGAGAACCCUAAAACUUCCAAUCUAAAAGAGUUUUGAAAUCCUAAUCUACCAAGAAUUCCAUCAGCUCUAUAUCUACUAAUGCGAGUUUCAAAUAGGCAAAAUAAAUUCGAAGAAAAAUCUCUACUAUACUCCCUUACAAAAUUAUGGAACCUAGGAUGACCAACACAUUGACAGUUCCAAAAGAACAUUUUUAACUUUAUAAGAAAAUAAAAAGAGAUUGUCAAACAGACCCAGAAAAAAAAAACAAAACAGGUUAGCAAUCCGCCUGAAAGACGCCCGUUACCUCCGCAUCAACUCCCUCCAUUUCCAUAAAAAUCCCAUCUGACGAACACCCCAGUUCAGAUUCCUGGUCAAUAGUAGAGGCAAUCCCUUUUAUCACCUAUUCUAUUUCCACCAAAUUCUGUUGUGAAUGUCCAUUUGCAAACUUCGUAGGUCGAAGCAUUUCGAGGUCCUUCAUCUCUGAUGGUCGUUGACCAAUAUUUUCCUCAAUAAAAAAUGCACCAUUUUCCUUACGAAUAAAGCUAGUACUACAUUUCUCCAUGACUUGUGUCUGUUCUUUCAACUAAAACUGUUUGACAGCUCUAUGUUUGGUUUUAUCCAAACCCCUUGAAAUCUGAAUUGAUUGAAAGCAAAAAGGUUCUUCAACACCAACCCAACUCGACGGCCGAUGACUGACCCAUCAUUAAAACUUUCAGACCUCCGUUCGUUACCUCUAUUCACAGUCUUUAGAAUAUUAGUACUCUUUCUAGGCCCAGAUCCAAUUGCAACUCCUUUGCAUUUGGUUUUCAACCUAUUUCUUAUCUGAGUUGUAGCUAAUUUAAGGUUUUCCCUUUAACAGAGUCAUUCAAAUUUUCUUUGUCCACUGUAGAGUCACUUACCAUGUUUAAGCUGAUCUCCUCAUAUCCUCCUUGAUUCACGCCCAGAGCUUCAAAUCUGGAACCAUUGUUCUCUGUUCCAAGUAAACAUUGGACCUAAAAAACACAUAUCUCGGAGACCAAACUUAUAGAUAAAUUUCUUAAACAACUUACAAUCGAGGCCCUCGCUACUUGCCCCCUUGUCUCUCAGAACCAUCCAAUAUGGAAUUAAAAUCACUUGCUAGAAUCCAUAGUUCAAAAACAUAAUAAGCAAAAUCAUCAAGAGCUUUCCACAGUUCACGCCUUUUUUGAACUUGAGGGCUCACAUAAACUGCAGAACAAAAAAAGGCAGAAAAACCCUAAAUAGUUCUCACAUAGACAACCUGAGGGUGAACCUUAACAAUAUCAACAAUAAUAUUAUCAUUCCAAAGAAGCCAAAUUCCCCCCGAGAACUCCAAAGCUUCCAAUCUAAAAGAGUUUUGAAAUCAUAAUAUAGCAAGAAUUCCAUCUGCUCGAUACCUGCAAUGUGCGUUUCAAACAGAUAAAAUAAAUUCGGAGAAGAAUCUCUACUAUACUCUCAUACGAAAUUAUGGAAUCUAGGAUAACCAAUACAUUGACAGUUCCAAAAGCACAUUUUUACCUUCAUAAAAAAUAAAAAAAGAUUGACAAACAGACCUAGAAGAAACAAAAUAGAUUAGCAAUCCGCCUGAUAGAUGCCUAUUUCCUUCAUAUCAAAUCCCUCAAUUUCCAUAAAAAUCCCACCUGACGAACACCCCAGUUUAGAUUCCUGGUCAACAGUAGAGACAAUCACUUUUAUCGCCUAUUCUAUUUCCACCAAAUUCUGUUGUGAAUGUCCAUUUGCAUACUCCGUAGGUCAAAGCAUUUUGAGGUCCUUCAUCUUUGACAGUCGUUGGCCAGUAUUUUCCCCAGUCAAAAAUGCACCAUCUUCCUUCCGAAUACAGCUCGUACUACCUUUCUCCAUAACUUGCAUAUGUUUUUUCAACUGAAACUGCUUGACAGCUCUAUGUUUAGUUCUAUCCAAACCCCUAGAAAUCUGAAUUGAUUGAAAGCAAAAAGGUUUUUCAACGCCAACCUAACACUACGGCCCAUGAC
rnacentral:lncRNA from 1 species